AGUGGCGAACGGGUGAGUAACACGUGGGGCAACCUGCCCAAAAGAGGGGGAUAACACUUGGAAACAGGUGCUAAUACCGCAUAACCAUAGUUACCGCAUGGUAACUAUGUAAAAGGUGGCUAUGCUACCGCUUUUGGAUGGGCCCGCGGCGCAUUAGCUAGUUGGUGGGGUAAAGGCUUACCAAGGCAAUGAUGCGUAGCCGAACUGAGAGGUUGAUCGGCCACAUUGGGACUGAGACACGGCCCAAACUCCUACGGAAGGCAGCAG
rnacentral:rRNA from 1 species